rnacentral:rRNA from 1 species
UACGUAGGGGGCAAGCGUUAUCCGGAUUUACUGGGUGUAAAGGGAGCGUAGACGGCAGCACAAGUCUGGAGUGAAAGCCCAUGGCUUAACCAUGGUACUGCUCUGGAAACUGUGGAGCUUGAGUGCGGGAGGGGCAGGCGGAAUUCCUAGUGUAGCGGUGAAAUGCGUAGAUAUCAGGAGGAACACCGGUGGCGAAGGCGACCUGCUAGAACAUAACUGACGCUGAUGCGCGAAAGCGUGGGGAGCAAACAGG